AGAAACAAACCUACAGCAGAGCAGCCACAUUUCUCAGAGCCAGUUUCAUCUGCUGACAUCAAUGGAUUUGCACCACAGAUGAAUGUGGCUGUUUGUGCCUCAUCCUGGUAAUCAUGGCAGCUGUUAUGCUUGACCGUGAACUCAAGAAUCCCAUCAUCUGUCACCGUGCUUGUCUUCCCAACAGUGUUUUCUGUCAAAAUAGUUAUGCUGGAAGAGCAACUCUGUGGCAUGCACAGCAGGUCUCAGCCUUCUGCCCAAAUCCAGCAUAAAGUUACCUGGACUAUCCUUAUAAAUAAUCACAAGUCACUUCUGCCUAAUGAUGACAAGAUUGUUUCUGCUUCAUCCGUGCAACAGAACUCAUCCUCAUCCUGCUUCCAUGGAUACUGAUG
rnacentral:lncRNA from 12 species